rnacentral:rRNA from 1 species
UACAGAGGGUGCGAGCGUUGUCCGGAAUUAUUGGGCGUAAAGGGCUCGUAGGCGGUUUGUCGCGUCGGGAGUGAAAACACCGGGCUUAACUCGGUGCUUGCUUUCGAUACGGGCAGACUAGAGGCAUGCAGGGGAGAACGGAAUUCCUGGUGUAGCGGUGAAAUGCGCAGAUAUCAGGAGGAACACCGGUGGCGAAGGCGGUUCUCUGGGCAUGUCCUGACGCUGAGGAGCGAAAGUGUGGGGAGCGAACAGG